AUGAGUGAAUUGGCGGAGCAGAGAUACAGGAUCACGAUGCUGAAGGCAUUUCUUGAUGAAUUAGACGGAACGAUGGCCAGACAGCAGUAAAGAACUUGUCUGAUAAACGCUGGCUUGUCGCGCAGCUGCGACUACAGUGAAAUGGCGAAGGCUGGAGAUAUGAAUAGGUACCUUACGUCUGGUGCUAGUCCGGGGAAGCGAGGUCGCAGGGACGUCGGAACGCGCUCGCUCAAAGAUCUGCUGCUGUCGAGAAACAAGAGAGCAUCGUUAUCAUAGGUGGCAGGUCGGGCCGGAGUCUCAGCUGUAAAUAGGCACAGCGGAGUGACAGAUCAACGGCUGGAGGAGUGACAGAUCUGCAGUGAACACGGAGAGAGGAUUACCAUGCGUGACGAUGAGGAUCGAACGUCGGCUGUUGACGAUGCCGCCGUCACUCCCCGUAAUUCCUGUCGGUUGAACCUUGAAAUUCAUGUCAGACAUCGGAGUCACCAUCCGCGGAAAAACCAUGUAUCUAACGCCGUUGCGCGACCAAAAUAAAAAGGCACUAUUGAAAUAAGGGGCGGGUGUAUGAAUCUCAGACCGACCUACUCGCCCGUGAUAUAGAUUGCAAUCAGUCUCACACAUCUUCAGCCAUUCUAGCACGUCGUGAAAACGUAAGCAUCGGUUGUCUUGUAAUCGCUCUUAGG